rnacentral:rRNA from 1 species
AUGGUCGAGGGGGGAGUCAUUCCCCAUGAAGCUGCGCGUCUCCCAGGGAGAGAAGUCGAACCCCAACCUCGUGACGGUGAGUGCGUCCUCCUUGCCACCCAUAUCGAUCGCGGAUUUUCUCUACCUCCUCAUCCUUUUUUCUGGAGCUUUUUGAACUUCUUCGGAGCGCAGCUCCACCAUUUCACUCCCAAUUCCAUCGUGUAUCUUGCGGCUUUCGUUUCCUUGUGCAAAAGUUUCUUGGGUUGCCGCCCUCAUUGGGGACUCUUUAAACACAUCUUCACCUGCGGUUCCCAAUCGGUAAAGAAAGCCAAGUCGAGUGACGAACGCACGCAAGUGAUCCAGCUAUGCGGGGGCCUGGCGAUCCAGAUGAGGGGUAAAAGUUCUUUUCCGUCUAUCACUUUUCCCGAGUCGGUCUGUGGUUGGCAGUCGACCUGGUUUUAUUGCCAAGACCAGGUGACCCCAGGGCAGUCGACUGGUCUUCCCCCUUUCUCUCUGGACCGAGCUCAAAAGCCUGACUCUCUGAAAGUGCUGCCGGAGGAAAAGGCGCAAGUCAAGGUGCUGGUUGGUCGAGUGGUUCAACUUGUCCGAGAGGGCGUGACCGGAAUGGACUUGCUGGAGGUCUUCCUUCGGAGGCGCAUCCAACCGCUUCAGGCUCGUGACCACCCUAUGUGGCUGUACUCGGGUCUCGACGACACCACUCGGGUUCACCCAGAGGAGGUCACCGGCGAGAUGCUGGAAGGGUGGCUGUCGAGCAUCACAGGGAACAAAGACAACCCCCAAGGAGCCAGGAGGGUUCCCCCGCUUGACAGUACAUACGACGUGGACCAGGCAACUACAGAGAUGUACUCGACACCCAACGGAGCACAGGGGCAGGCCGAGGAAGGGGAGGCGAGCGGAGGCGAAAGCGGAGACGAAUAG